rnacentral:lncRNA from 12 species
GUAGUGUGCUAGGAAAGGACAGGGCGGCACCACUCCCCCUUCUCUGUGAUAGUGCCAUCGUUACCUAGGUCUAUUUAGGGAACUUUCCAAAACACAGAGAAGCUUUGUGGGUCUGGCUCUCAGAACUUAUGCAACCAAUUGUUAUGGGAACAGCCUGGAAAUUUCACAAGAAAGCAGAGUUCUCAAGAGGUUGACAGUUUGACCAAAGGAUCAAAGAACGCUUGAAUUGGAUCUUGUGACUGGAAACAUUAACUCUCUGUGUUGAUCACCUGGAGACCUGUUUUCAAUCCUCUGAAGAUCGCCAAGUGAAGGCCUACCCCUUGAAAGUCUUAAAAGUAGAAUCUUUCAGGCUGUAAAGAUUCAAGAGCCCGGGAUGUCCUGCGUGGAGUACUUCUGGCCUCAGCCACCCAGGAGGAGAGGACAGUGAGGUCUGGAGAAGACUGGCAGGAGAAAUGUCUAGACAGAGAGCACAGGAAGCCAAUGUCUACCCUGCCAUGUUGAAUCAUCACAUCAACUGCAUGCCAGGCACUGUGUUCUAACACAGUCACACCCCUUCCUCAAUGUUCCCAAAUGGCAGACUGACACACUAGAGGAGAUUAAGGUAAAUUAGCAGUUGGAAUUAUAUCAGAACACGAAACAAAUCAAUCCAUGGAAGCAGCUAUGUGAAUUGAGGAAUAUAAGUUCUACUUGG